rnacentral:misc_RNA from 1 species
UCUCCGUUGGUGAACCAGCGGAGGGAUCAUUACUGAGUGAACAGCUCUAAAACCCCUGUGAACAUACCUACCGUUGCUUCGGCGGGAACGCCCCGGCCGCCCCUGGGCGCCGGAACCAGGCCCCCGCCGCAAGACCCCCAAUUCUGUCUUUAAGGUUCCAUUCUGAGUGGCGUAACGCUAAAAUAAAUCAAAACUUUCAACAACGGAUCUCUUGGCUCUGGCAUCGAUGAAGAACGCAGC